rnacentral:rRNA from 1 species
UACGGAGGGUGCAAGCGUUAAUCGGAAUUACUGGGCGUAAAGCGCACGCAGGCGGUUUGUUAAGCUAGAUGUGAAAGCCCUGGGCUCAACCUGGGAAUUGCAUUUAGAACUGGCAGGCUAGAGUACAGUAGAGGGUGGUGGAAUUUCCAGUGUAGCGGUGAAAUGCGUAGAGAUUGGAAGGAACAUCAGUGGCGAAGGCG